rnacentral:tRNA from 1 species
GUCCAGGGAUGGGAAUCAAACCCAGUGUUCCGCUUACCUGGCAGAUUCCAUGUCCACUAGGCUACCCUGGA